UCUUCUACCUCUGAUGGCUUUUUUAUAUCCCAGGAAAAGUAUAUCCAGGAUCUUCUUGCUCGUGCUGCUCUUUCUGACGAGCGCACUGUUGAGACUCCUAUGGAGCUCAAUGUUCACCUCCGUGCUACUGAUGGUGAUCCUCUCCCUGAUCCGACGCGUUAUCGUCAUCUCGUUGGCAGUCUUGUUUAUCUAGCUGUCACUCGUCCGGACAUCUCUUAUCCGGUUCAUAUUCUGAGUCAGUUUGUCUCUGCUCCCACAUCGGUUCAUUAUAGUCAUCUCCUUCGUGUUCUUCGAUAUCUUCGGGGCACGAUCUCUCACCGUCUCUUCUUUCCUAGCUCCAGUUCUUUACAGCUUCAGGCCUAUGCGAAUGCUACGUGGGCUAGUGAUCCUUCUGAUCGCCGUUCACUUUCUGCUUACUGUGUUUUUCUUGGUGGUUCUCUCAUUGCCUGGAAGACGAAGAAACAGAUUGCAGUUUCCCGUUCGAGUGCUGAGGCUGAGUUGCGAGCUAUGGCCCUUUUGACGGCAGAGGUGACUUGGUUACGGUGGUUACUUCAGGAUUUUGGUGUUUCUGUCACU
rnacentral:rRNA from 1 species